rnacentral:rRNA from 1 species
GAUGAACGCUAGCUACAGGCUUAACACAUGCAAGUCGAGGGACCGGCGCACGGGUGAGUAACACGAAUCCCCCCUGCCCUUUACUCGGGGAAAGGCUUUCGACAGAAAGAUUAAUACCCGAUAUAAAGGAUUGGGAUGCGUUCCAUUAGGUUGUUGGUGAGGAAACGGCUCACCAAGCCUUCGAUGGAUAGGGGUUCUGUGAGGAAGGACCCCCACAUUGAAACUGAGACACGGUCCAAACUCCUACGGGCGGCAGCGGUGAGGAAUAUUGGGAAAUGGGCGGGACCCUGAAACAGCCAGGUAGUAUGAAGGAUGAAGGCGUAUGGGUCGUUGACUUCUUGUAUAUAAGAAUCUGUAUUAGAUUAAUAAGGAACGGCUAACUCCGUGCCAGCAGCCGCGGUAAUAC